rnacentral:rRNA from 1 species
AAGGAUCAUUACCGAGUGAGGGCCCUCUGGGUCCAACCUCCCACCCGUGUUUAUUUUACCUUGUUGCUUCGGCGGGCCCGCCUUAACUGGCCGCCGGGGGGCUCACGCCCCCGGGCCCGCGCCCGCCGAAGACACCCUCGAACUCUGUCUGAAGAUUGAAGUCUGAGUGAAAAUAUAAAUUAUUUAAAACUUUCAACAACGGAUCUCUUGGUUCCGGCAUCGAUGAAGAACGCAGCGAAAUGCGAUACGUAAUGUGAAUUGCAAAUUCAGUGAAUCAUCGAGUCUUUGAACGCACAUUGCGCCCCCUGGUAUUCCGGAGGGCAUGCCUGUCCGAGCGUCAUUGCUGCCCUCAAGCCCGGCUUGUGUGUUGGGCCCCGUCCUCCGAUCUCCGGGGGACGGGCCCGAAAGGCAGCGGCGGCACCGCGUCCGGUCCUCGAGCGUAUGGGGCUUUGUCACCCGCUCUGUAGGCCCGGCCGGCGCUUGCCGAUCAACCCAAAUUUUUAUCCAGGUUGACCUCGGAUCAGGUAGGGAUACCCGCUGAACUUAA